rnacentral:lncRNA from 1 species
AUCCUGUCUCCUUCCCAGUCCCUCCCUCUUUGCCUUGGCCUCUGUUUCAUCACAUGCUGAGGCUGGAAGCUGAGCUGUCUUUGGGGUUAGCCAGAAUGUGAAAUAACCAGGGUUUAGGCUGUGAAAAAUAGGGUUUUCAUAACUCAAUUCCAGGAAUAUUAUUCAGUAAGUCUGGAAAACUUGCUGGUCAUGAUACUGAUGAUUCUGAUUCUGGUAGUCUAAGGGCAUCAUUUUAGAAAAAAAACAACACAGGCCUCAGUAUAAGGCUGUAGAGGCUUAAGCUGAGAGCGUCACACAACUCCUAAACUUCCUUACAUGCACUUUUUGGUUCCAGCUACGGAGCUGGGGGCACCUGGAGGACACUGGCUUGGCAGAGCUGCCCUUCGGGAGUGGUCCUGGGAGACUGGGACAUAUGGGAACUCCAGGAAACCUGGGGCCUCUUCCAGGCAAGCAGGAUGUCCAGGGUUCUGACAUUGACUGGACUCCCUGCAAGUCAUGGCUGAGUGAGGCCUUAAGGAGCAACGCAAAGCAAAGGGCAAGGUACCUGAUGAAGGCAUGCUGAGUGCAUGAAACUUGAACCCGUCAGAAACACUCGCUUCUCCAAGAUCUUGGGCUCCAUCCUAUAUAGACCGGUUUCCAUUAUUCUCAGCAAUCUCUGCAUGACACACAGCAACCAAAUGGAAAUUGAUUUCACCAAGUUUGGC